rnacentral:rRNA from 1 species
UACGGAGGGUGCGAGCGUUGUCCGGAAUCAUUGGGCGUAAAGGGCGCGUAGGUGGCCCGGUCAGUCAGUGGUGAAAGCGCGGGGCUCAACUCCGCGUCGGCCAUUGAUACUGCGGGGCUGGAGCACUGUAGAGGCAGGCGGAAUUCCGGGUGUAGCGGUGGAAUGCGUAGAGAUCCGGAAGAACACCGGUGGCGAAGGCGGCCUGCUGGGCAGUAGCUGACGCUGAUGCGCGACAGCGUGGGGAGCAAACAGG